rnacentral:rRNA from 1 species
UACGAAGGGGGGCUAGCGUUGUUCGGAAUUACUGGGCGUAAAGCGCGCGCAGGUGGUCUUUCAAGUCAGUGGUGAAAGCCCGGAGCUCAACUCCGGAAAUGCCAUUGAAACUGUAAGACUUGAGGAUGAGAGAGGUGAGUGGAAUUCCCAGUGUAGAGGUGAAAUGCGUAGAGAUCGGGAGGAACACCAGAGGCGAAGGCGGCUCGCUGGACAGUGACUGACACUCAACUACGAAAGCGUGGGGAGCAAACAGG